CGCCCGUCCGUACCUGGCCUCCAACAUCCCCUCUUUACUAGUUUUAAAGACUCCUCGAGGUAUGAGCUGCUCCCCCUUCUCCCCUUCUAUAAAUAGAGCGCUCGUUACUUUGGUUCCUCAUCCCUUCCUUCUUUCGCAAUGAGCGUUCAGAAUAUUCUUGAAGAGUAUGGCCGCGAAGUGCAACUCCAGCACGCCGCGUGGACUAUAUGUCUGUUGUCGCCCGCUGGCGUUUCCAAUAGCGCUCUGAUCUCCUUACGAGCCGGCCUGCUGUCGCCCCCCUGACGUCGCUCCUGCUGCUGCCUCGGGCUCCGUUGGGACCUCGCAUGUCUUUCACGCUCACGGCACGAUUGCGGUUCCUGCCGAGGCUACCGGCCGUCGUCGUCGGUCGCACAGCCACCGUCGCUUCCGUGCGUCCUCGUCCCUUCCGGCCACUGACCUGCGCCAUUUCUUGUUGGGGUCUCCGAAGCCGGACCGUUAGGCCCGCCCUGGAGCUAUCCGCGCCCACUCCCAUGCCCUUUCGGGUGGUGGGCUUGCCUUCGUGGGGUGGCGCCCGGGUUGCCCUGGUGCCCUCUUCUUUUCUUUACUUGCUGUCCCGUACUUUGUUGUUGUUGUUUUUUUCUUUUUUUUUCCCGCCGUGUCACCGGCUAUUGUAAUCCUUGUUUUGCUUUAUUAGUAAAUAUUUUUUCUUCGCUUUUUCAUGUUUCGCGUUUUGAUUUCUCCCUUGCGCGUUGGUGCAGUUUUACGCUAUUCGACGUCCUCUGCUGACGUUGUCUGGGCCAUUCUCGAGCUUCGCCCCCGCUACCAGGCGCAAACCCCUCCUUCGCUGACGCUCCUCCUUCGUUCCUCCUUCCCCCUCAUAGUGGGGGUCCCGCUCGUCACGUUGUUUCAUUUGGUCCGCCGGACGGGUCCGUAGGGGACCUUGCUUGGACGCCCCCGUCCCGUCCUGCCUGCUCUGUUUGGUCGUUGGGUGCCCCAGGCUCUUCUCCAGACGCCCCUUUGAGGCUUCGCCGUCCGCGUCAGGCGCUGACCUUCACUUUGCUUCCCGACGGUCUUGGCCGUGGGUUCCCUCGG
rnacentral:lncRNA from 1 species